ensembl:lncRNA LINC01409 long intergenic non-protein coding RNA 1409
AAUCAGAACUCGCGGUGGGGGCUGCUGGUUCUUCCAGGAGCGCGCAUGAGCGGACGCUGCCUACUGGUGGCCGGGCGGGAUGUAACCGGCUGCUGAGCUGGCAGUUCUGUGUCGCUAGGCUUCUGCCCGGCCGCCGCCGCACAUAAGCCACGAGGAGGAGCUUUACGACUUCCCGGUCUUCGGCGCCGGGCGCAGCAAGGGCCAGACUCUGCGCUAGCAGGCGCUGCGCGCCAACCGGCCGGCACCUGUCGCAGAAGGUGCAACCGAUCGCACUGUCGCGCAGAAGCUCCUCAAUGGCCAGCGCCAGCUGCAGCCCCGGCCGCCCACUCGCCUCAUCUGAGCCUGGCAGAAGGUAAGCAUGAGCAAAUUACUUUUUAGAGGUAACUUUGCUGAACUUGUGAAGAAUGGUGUGCAAGGUCCAGAGCGACUGCAGGAGAGGGAAGGUGGGAUUCCCACAGAGCAGGAGCACAGAUAAGCCAAGCAAGGCCCUGCUUGGAAGGCAGCAAUCAACAGAGAUGCACAGACCUGUGAGGGUGCCGGGACAGCCAUGCAACAAUGCAGCCCUUUUGCUUCCUGAGCUCACCAGUUCCCUCGCUCCACCUCUGAGAGGUGGUUUGGAGAAACACAGCCCUUCUCAAGAGGGCUGCAAGCUACUUAAGUCCUGAAAAUUUCCACAAGGCUGAGUCAAAUCUGCGUUUCAUCAUCUAUAAGAAAGGUACCUAUCGAGAACACCCUGCUGGCCAGUGUGUAAAUAUCUAAAGGAGGACUCAGAAAACACCGGGGAAGUCCAGCCUGCACGUGGUGGCUGGGCUUCAGUGAAGCAUGCAGCACAACAGGAGUUGUAAGUAGUAGUUACAUCAGCAGCCCUGGAAAUUCUGCUCAGAACCAAACUGAACAAAUAACAUUAUCUAAGGCUUACAAUUAUUUAACUCCCUAAAUUUUCUGUCCUCCCAGUAGCACUUUCAAAUGCCUAAAAGCAAUUAAAAGAAACAUUUUUCCAAUGUCUCACAGAACCAUUAGAAACACAAAAUUAAUAGCUUCAUAAACUAUAGCUUCUAUUUUAUCCAUAAUAGAAUGAAGGUGCAUAAACCACAUAGUAAUUAAUCUUUGGACAAAAGCAAACAAUAAAUGGAAUAUAUGGCUAAGAUCCUUUCUUUUUGAGUGUGGCCCAAGAUAAAAAUUUCUUCCAAAAGGGUAACAUUAAUGCAAUAAGGCUUUUGUGGAAUUCUAUUUUGUACGAAAUUCCUGUUUUCUAUUAGCUACUUCUUCCUCUGUGACACAAGCCUCAUUCCUUGUGAAAAACACGAAGCAGAAAACAUUCGUGAAAUCAUCAGGUAAAGAUCCCAUGACCGUUCUAUCACUGACACAGUAUGUAGGUACAUGGUACAACCCCCAAGGGACCACCUUGUGGCAUCCUCAGCAACCACAGAGCCACAGGGCAGAUGAGUGUUUGCUCCCACUGAGGCUCUGCAACCUCUGCCACCAAUACUGGAGAAAUCCUCCAACCUCACUGUUUUCUCCUGAACUUGUUCCCUUCUGUUUUUCGAUUAAUACACAGCAAACAGGCACACCUUCAAGCUGCCAAAAGCAUCUUAAACGUUGUACACUUACAAUCUUCAAAAUAUAGUUGUUCAAAAGAGUCAUCAAAGUAGUUUUUGAAAUAGAACACUUACUUUGACCACAUAAUUGAACCUUCGGAUAUCUUGAAUUGCACUUGAGAAGUCUAACCGAUUAAAGGCUUCUCCCAAGGUGCAAUAGCCAUGCCUCUGGAAGAGCAACACAGAAUUUAAAAUUAGUCAAUUAGCCAAAAAGAAUUGGCAGUUAAUGUCAAUUAAUUGUGCGAUUAAAAAAAUUUUUGGCAAAGGACAA